rnacentral:misc_RNA from 2 species
CCAACUGACGUUGUUAGUGAACCUAUCUUGUUCACAAAAUAUAUAAGCCAAUUGCGAUUAUUGCGAUUGGCUAUUUUUUU